GGGUUGUGAGGUUAAGCGACUAAGCGUACACGGUGGAUGCCCUGGCAGUCAGAGGCGAUGAAGGACGUGCUAAUCUGCGAUAAGCGUCGGUAAGGUGAUAUGAACCGUUAUAACCGGCGAUUUCCGAAUGGGGAAACCCAGUGUGUUUCGACACACUAUCAUUAACUGAAUCCAUAGGUUAAUGAGGCGAACCGGGGGAACUGAAACAUCUAAGUACCCCGAGGAAAAGAAAUCAACCGAGAUUCCCCCAGUAGCGGCGAGCGAACGGGGAGCAGCCCAGAGCCUGAAUCAGUGUGUGUGUUAGUGGAAGCGUCUGGAAAGGCGUGCGAUACAGGGUGACAGCCCCGUACACAAAAAUGCACAUGCUGUGAGCUCGAUGAGUAGGGCGGGACACGUGGUAUCCUGUCUGAAUAUGGGGGGACCAUCCUCCAAGGCUAAAUACUCCUGACUGACCGAUAGUGAACCAGUACCGUGAGGGAAAGGCGAAAAGAACCCCGGCGAGGGGAGUGAAAAAGAACCUGAAACCGUGUACGUACAAGCAGUGGGAGCACGCUUAGGCGUGUGACUGCGUACCUUUUGUAUAAUGGGUCAGCGACUUAUAUUCUGUAGCAAGGUUAACCGAAUAGGGGAGCCGAAGGGAAACCGAGUCUUAACUGGGCGUUAAGUUGCAGGGUAUAGACCCGAAACCCGGUGAUCUAGCCAUGGGCAGGUUGAAGGUUGGGUAACACUAACUGGAGGACCGAACCGACUAAUGUUGAAAAAUUAGCGGAUGACUUGUGGCUGGGGGUGAAAGGCCAAUCAAACCGGGAGAUAGCUGGUUCUCCCCGAAAGCUAUUUAGGUAGCGCCUCGUGAAUUCAUCUCCGGGGGUAGAGCACUGUUUCGGCAAGGGGGUCAUCCCGACUUACCAACCCGAUGCAAACUGCGAAUACCGGAGAAUGUUAUCACGGGAGACACACGGCGGGUGCUAACGUCCGUCGUGAAGAGGGAAACAACCCAGACCGCCAGCUAAGGUCCCAAAGUCAUGGUUAAGUGGGAAACGAUGUGGGAAGGCCCAGACAGCCAGGAUGUUGGCUUAGAAGCAGCCAUCAUUUAAAGAAAGCGUAAUAGCUCACUGGUCGAGUCGGCCUGCGCGGAAGAUGUAACGGGGCUAAACCAUGCACCGAAGCUGCGGCAGCGACGCUGAUGCGUUGUUGGGUAGGGGAGCGUUCUGUAAGCCUGCGAAGGUGUACUGUGAGGCAUGCUGGAGGUAUCAGAAGUGCGAAUGCUGACAUAAGUAACGAUAAAGCGGGUGAAAAGCCCGCUCGCCGGAAGACCAAGGGUUCCUGUCCAACGUUAAUCGGGGCAGGGUGAGUCGACCCCUAAGGCGAGGCCGAAAGGCGUAGUCGAUGGGAAACAGGUUAAUAUUCCUGUACUUGGUGUUACUGCGAAGGGGGGACGGAGAAGGCUAUGUUGGCCGGGCGACGGUUGUCCCGGUUUAAGCGUGUAGGCUGGUUUUCCAGGCAAAUCCGGAAAAUCAAGGCUGAGGCGUGAUGACGAGGCACUACGGUGCUGAAGCAACAAAUGCCCUGCUUCCAGGAAAAGCCUCUAAGCAUCAGGUAACAUCAAAUCGUACCCCAAACCGACACAGGUGGUCAGGUAGAGAAUACCAAGGCGCUUGAGAGAACUCGGGUGAAGGAACUAGGCAAAAUGGUGCCGUAACUUCGGGAGAAGGCACGCUGAUAUGUAGGUGAAGCGACUUGCUCGUGGAGCUGAAAUCAGUCGAAGAUACCAGCUGGCUGCAACUGUUUAUUAAAAACACAGCACUGUGCAAACACGAAAGUGGACGUAUACGGUGUGACGCCUGCCCGGUGCCGGAAGGUUAAUUGAUGGGGUCAGCGCAAGCGAAGCUCUUGAUCGAAGCCCCGGUAAACGGCGGCCGUAACUAUAACGGUCCUAAGGUAGCGAAAUUCCUUGUCGGGUAAGUUCCGACCUGCACGAAUGGCGUAAUGAUGGCCAGGCUGUCUCCACCCGAGACUCAGUGAAAUUGAACUCGCUGUGAAGAUGCAGUGUACCCGCGGCAAGACGGAAAGACCCCGUGAACCUUUACUAUAGCUUGACACUGAACAUUGAGCCUUGAUGUGUAGGAUAGGUGGGAGGCUUUGAAGUGUGGACGCCAGUCUGCAUGGAGCCGACCUUGAAAUACCACCCUUUAAUGUUUGAUGUUCUAACGUUGACCCGUGAUCCGGGUUGCGGACAGUGUCUGGUGGGUAGUUUGACUGGGGCGGUCUCCUCCUAAAGAGUAACGGAGGAGCACGAAGGUUGGCUAAUCCUGGUCGGACAUCAGGAGGUUAGUGCAAUGGCAUAAGCCAGCUUGACUGCGAGCGUGACGGCGCGAGCAGGUGCGAAAGCAGGUCAUAGUGAUCCGGUGGUUCUGAAUGGAAGGGCCAUCGCUCAACGGAUAAAAGGUACUCCGGGGAUAACAGGCUGAUACCGCCCAAGAGUUCAUAUCGACGGCGGUGUUUGGCACCUCGAUGUCGGCUCAUCACAUCCUGGGGCUGAAGUAGGUCCCAAGGGUAUGGCUGUUCGCCAUUUAAAGUGGUACGCGAGCUGGGUUUAGAACGUCGUGAGACAGUUCGGUCCCUAUCUGCCGUGGGCGCUGGAGAACUGAGGGGGCUGCUCCUAGUACGAGAGGACCGGAGUGGACGCAUCACUGGUGUUCGGGUUGUCAUGCCAAUGGCACUGCCCGGUAGCUAAAUGCGGAAGAGAUAAGUGCUGAAAGCAUCUAAGCACGAAACUUGCCCCGAGAUGAGUUCUCCCUGACUCCUUGAGAGUCCUGAAGGAACGUUGAAGACGACGACGUUGAUAGGCCGGGUGUGUAAGCGCAGCGAUGCGUUGAGCUAACCGGUACUAAUGAACCGUGAGGCUUAACCUUACAACGCCGAAG
rnacentral:rRNA from 1 species